CUGCAACAAACCAGUGACCAGCCCAGCGCCAAAGUGAGGAGGCAAAGUGAUGCAUCUGAUGAUGACAACAGCAGCCUGGACAUAAACCACUUUCAAGAUCCAACUAUUGUUAUCACAGGUCGAAAUCUGGAACGCCAUGGCAUCCCGGUUGACCACAGUUUUUCUUCAUCUGAAGCAAGUCUACAACCAGAUCUACAAUCUUGAGGUAUUAACUCUCUGGUCUGAAUAAUUCACAUAACCACAGGAAACCAUCAACUAGUCCUCUUGAGCCAAAUGUUUAAGUAAAAACAGCUUCUUCAGCCAUGCUUCUGCCAUUAAAACUACAUGAUCAACUUAACUUCCAAG
ensembl:lncRNA